AUUGAACGCUGGCGGCAGGCCUAACACAUGCAAGUCGAACGGUAACAGGAAGCAGCUUGCUGCUUUGCUGACGAGUGGCGGACGGGUGAGUAAUGUCUGGGAAACUGCCUGAUGGAGGGGGAUAACUACUGGAAACGGUAGCUAAUACCGCAUAACGUCGCAAGACCAAAGAGGGGGACCUUCGGGCCUCUUGCCAUCGGAUAUGCCCAGAUGGGAUUAGCUAGUAGGUGGGGUAACGGCUCACCUAGGCGACGAUCCCUAGCUGGUCUGAGAGGAUGACCAGCCACACUGGAACUGAGACACGGUCCAGACUCCUACGGGAGGCAGCAGUGGGGAAUAUUGCACAAUGGGCGCAAGCCUGAUGCAGCCAUGCCGCGUGUAUGAAGAAGGCCUUCGGGUUGUAAAGUACUUUCAGCGGGGAGGAAGGGAGUAAAGUUAAUACCUUGGCUCAUUGACGUUACCCGCAGAAGAAGCACCGGCUAACUCCGUG
rnacentral:rRNA from 1 species